UCUUCUGAGUUCUGAAAGGGAUUCUUAGUGUCAGGCAUUAAGGUGUCACAACACUCCAAUAGGACCCAUAACUCUUUGUGGUUUUCUUGAGCAGUAGUGACGCAUGAUACAAGCUCAGUAGUCAAAAGAAUGUGUUCCUUCUUCCUGUUCUUUUUUGCACCAUCAGACAUUAAAGAAUGCUUUAUCACCAUACAAACUUGGAGGGGCAGCAGGUGGAAGUGAUUAUGAUCCUAAAGGAAAAAGCGAUAAUGAGUUCUUUGUGAAACCCAUGCUGGCUGAUCAUGCGCUUUUGCCAAAGUUUCAUGAAUGAGAUCUAUAGAUAUCUGGGUCCUGACAAGGAUCUUCCAUCAGAAGAGAUGGGUGUUGGCACCCGAGAGAUGGGUAUCUCUUUGGGCAAUAUAGACAUCUUGCUGGUCAUUUUCAGGUUGUUGCUGGUGAACUCGAAUUAAAUUAUGAAUGCAAUUUGAUGCACUGGUCACCUGAGGACUUCAAAUCUAAAUUACAGAGAAGAUAUUUGAUUUGUCAAUUGCAUUGGUGUAUGCGAUAUGAAAGAGAGAAAAUAGGCAGAGCAAGUGACCAACUAGUGAAAUUUUUGAAGCAUAUUCUUUUUAACUGUUCUUUAUUUUUAUCUGCAAUUAUUGAACGUUAUCAACUUCUUGUUGCCCCUUGUGCAGAUUAUGUCAGUUAGCUCUUCCAUUCUCCCCAAAUUUAGUGAGCAAAAUCCUUUUACAACUCAUGAAGGUUUGUUUUUGUUGUCUUCUAGCUAUUAAUAUAUUCAAUUACAUUAUGUAAUACUUUGUUUUCAUAUCUCAUUCUUGAUGCAGUAAAGAAAGUUCAACACUAUAUCAAAUGUCAUGCUUUGAAGAAUG